AGUGCUGGCGGCAGGGAGCUCCGCGGACAGACUUGCAAGAGACCCCUGCUCCUUGUUGGAAAGUUGUCCCAAGAUGAAGGCCUAGACCCAGUCACGGAGACUUUUGGAUGCAGCCUUUAACGAAGGACGCAGGCAUGAGCCUGUCCUCUGUGACGCUGGCCAGCGCCCUACAGGUCAAGGGUGAAGCUCUGUCUGAGGAGGAAAUCUGGUCCCUCCUGUUCCUGGCCGCGGAGCAGCUCCUGGAAGACCUCCGCAACGAUUCCUCGGACUAUGUGGUCUGCCCCUGGUCAGCCCUGCUUUCUGCGGCUGGAAGCCUUUCUUUCCAAGGCCAUGUUUCUCACAUAGAGGCUGCUCCUUUCAAGGCCCCUGAACUGCUACAGGGACAGAGUGAGGAUGAGCAGCCUGAUGUGUCUCAGAUGCACGUUUAUUCUUUAGGAAUGACCCUCUACUGGUCAGCAGGGUUUCAUGUUCCGCCACAUCAGCCCCUGCAGCUCCAUGAGCCCCUGCACUCCAUCCUGCUGACCAUGUGUGAAGACCAGCCUCACAGGCGGUGCACGUUGCAGUCGGUUCUGGAAGCUUGUCGGAUUCAUGAGAAAGAAGUGUCUGUCUACCCAGCCCCUGCUGGUCUCCACAUCAGAAGGCUGGUUGGCUUGGUUCUGGGUACCAUUUCUGAGGUGGAGAAAAGAGUUGUGGAGGAAAGCUCCUCUGUGCAGCAGAACAGAAGCUACCUGCUCAGGAAGAGACUGCAUGGGACAAGCAGCGAGAGCCCAGUGGCACAGGCCCCAGAGUGUCUGCAUCCUUGCAGAGUUUCAGAAAGAAGCACGGAGACCCAGAGCUCACCAGAGCCCCAUUGGAACACCUUGACACACAGUCACUGCAGCCUCCUUGUUAACCGCACUCUUCCAGGAGCAGAUCCCCAGGACCAGCAGGAGGGCCGGAGGCUCAGCUCUGGAUCUGUGCACUCAGCAGCAGACAGCUCAUGGCCAACAACUCCUUCUCAAAGGGGUUUUCUGCAAAGAAGGAGCAAGUUUUCCAGGCCAGAGUUCAUCCUGUUGGCUGGAGAGGCCCCGAUGACACUACAUCUACCGGGAUCGGUUGUGACCAAAAAAGGGAAAUCCUAUUUGGCUCUCAGGGACCUCUGUGUGGUCCUGCUGAACGGGCAGCACCUGGAGGUAAAAUGUGAUGUUGAAUCAACAGUGGGAGCUGUCUUCAAUGCCGUGACGUCCUUUGCCAACCUCGAGGAACUCACCUACUUUGGCUUGGCGUAUAUGAAACGUGGAGAGUAAGCCAUACUUUCACGUUGAAGAUUACAUCCCAGCGAGUCUGAUCGAGAGGAUGACCGCUCUACAGGUCCAAGUCGAAGUCUCAGAGAUGCACCGGCUCAGCUCUGCACUGUGGGGAGAGGAUGCUGAGCUGGAGUUCUUGAGGGUCACUCAGCAGCUCCCAGAAUAUGGUGUGCUGGUUCACCAAGUAUUCUCAGAGAAGAGGAGGCCGGAAGAGGAGAUGGCCCUGGGGAUCUGUGCCAAGGGUGUCAUAGUAUAUGAAGUGAAAAACAACAGCAGAAUUGCAACUUUACGGUUUCAGUGGAGAGAAACCAGGAAGAUUUCUACUUAUCAAAAAAAGUUCACCAUCACAAGCAGUGUCACUGGGAAGAAGCACACAUUUGUCACAGAUUCAGCCAAGACCAGUAAAUACUUACUGGACCUCUGCUCAGCCCAGCAUGGGUUUAAUGCACAGAUGGGCUCUGGGCAGCCUUCCCAUGUUUUAUUUGACCAUGAUAAGUUUGUGCAAACGGCCAAUUUGAGUCCUGCAUACCAGGCCCAGUCUAAGCCUCUCAUUUGGAUUCAGAGAUUGUCAUGCUCAGAAAACGAGUUGUUUGCAUCCAGGCUUCAGGAUGCUGCAGGAGGCCUGUUGAGCACAUCAUUGGAUAACUUCAACGUGGACGGCAGCAAGGAGGCUGGACCAGAAGGCAUCGGGCGCAGCCCCUGCACUGGCCGGGAGCAGCUGAAGAGUGCCUGUGUGAUCCAGAGGCCAAUGACCUGGGACUCUCUGUCUGGGCCACCUGUUCAGAGCAUGCAUGCAGGGUCAAAGAAUAAUAGGAGGAAGAGCUUUACAGCUGAACCGGGCCAAGAAAUCGUGUGUGUGACACUGAAACGUGACCCACAUCGUGGUUUUGGUUUUGUCAUUAAUGAGGGAGAGUAUUCAGGCCAAGCUGACCCUGGCAUUUUUAUAUCUUCUAUUAUACCUGGAGGACCAGCAGAAAAAGCAAAAACGAUCAAACCAGGAGGGCAGAUACUAGCCCUGAAUCACAUCAGUCUGGAGGGCUUCACAUUCAACAUGGCUGUUAGGAUGAUCCAGAGUUCCCCUGAAAACAUAGAAUUAAUUAUUUCUCAGUCAAAAGGUGUUGGUGGAAAUAACCCAGAUGAAGAAAAGAAUAGCACAGCCAAUUCUGGGGUCUCCUCUACAGACAUCCUGAGCUUCGGGUACCAGGGAAGUUUGUUGUCACACACACAAGACCAGGACAGAAAUAUUGAAGAACUAGACAUGGCUGGGGUGCAGAGCUUAGAGCCCAGGCUGAGACAUCAGCUUUCUUUUCUGCCAUUGAAGGGUGCUGGUUCUUCUUGUCCUCCAACACCUCCGGAAAUUGGUGCUGGUGAAAUCUACUUUGUGGAACUGGUUAAAGAAGAUGGGACACUUGGAUUCAGCGUAACUGUAAGAGUUUUUAGGAGAGCUUGAAAAGCAGUUAACAAGAUGUCCGUCUAGAACCUGGUGGCCGUUCCACCCAGAUGGCAACCUCUGACAGUGUGCUUAGUUUGCACAAAUGUAAAGGGUGAAUAAAAAAACCAAUGGGGGCCUGCACUGGGGGAUGAGUUCAGAGACAAACAGAGGUACUGGGGAACCUCAGGCUGAGCAGGGCAUGCACUAGGGGACUCCAACCUCAUGAGGAGGCAGUGUAGGCAGAGUUGGGAGAUGUGUCCUGACUCUGAGGUCAAGGUGGACUGCAGAGAGAGAGAGAAGCAUAUUGGGGCUUCAGGGACACAAGCUAAAGGUGAGAAGGGCAGUCCACUGUCAUCUGGCCAAGGAUAGGUGGGGCAGUCCACUGUCAUCCAGCACAGGAUCAGUGUGGAGCCUCUUGCUCAGACAUCCCAGGGCCAGGCCUCCAUCAGGACUGACACUUUGCAUUUGGUUUCUGAACUCUGCCUGGUAGACUCUUGUGAAAGGAGAUUACCCAUAUAACUGUGUUUACCCAAGGGGUAGGGGAAUGGCACACACAAAGCUGGUGAAAAUCCAGAGGUCAGAGAUUGGAAGGUGCUGCUUUUAUUACUGAGUAUUGAAAGUGAUCCAUUACCAGCUGGGCUCGGUGACUCAUGACUGUAAUCCCAGAACUUUGGGAGACCAAGGCGGGUAGAUCACAAGGUCAGGAGAUUGAGACUAUCCUGGCUAACACGGUGAAACCCUGUCUCUACU
rnacentral:sRNA from 1 species